rnacentral:rRNA from 1 species
GAUGAACGCUAGCGGCAGGCCUAAUACAUGCAAGUCGAACGGUGGUCGCAAGACCAUAGUGGCGCACGGGUGCGUAACGCGUAACCAACCUACCCAGUUCUGGGGGAUAGCCCGCCGAAAGGCGGAUUAAUACCGCAUAAUACUUGUUCCUGGCAUCAGGGGUUAGUUAAAGAUUUAUUGGAAUUGGAUGGGGUUGCGUGCCAUUAGCUGGUUGGUGAGGUAACGGCUCACCAAGGCGACGAUGGCUAGGGGAGCUGAAAGGCUGGUCCCCCACACGGGCACUGAGAUACGGGCCCGACUCCUACGGGAGGCAGCAGUAGGGAAUAUUGGGCAAUGGCCGAGAGGCUGACCCAGCCAUGCCGCGUGCAGGAUGAAGGCUUUCUGAGUCGUAAACUGCUUUUGCCAGGGAAGAAAAAAGGGGAUGCGUCCUCUACUGACGGUACCUGGUGAAUAAGCACCGGCUAACUCCGUGCCAGCAGCCGCGGUAACAC